CCCAACCGGCACACUAUCACAUCCUGGACGGACGCAUAAUCUACCCACGACCUUUCUCCAACCUCGAUUCCUCGCAUCACCGGAACCCAGCGCCGCCAUUGGCCUCCUCCAGCAGACCCGCCGCCCGCCGCCGCGGGCCUCCUCCCGCAGACCCCGCCGCUGCCGCGUGCCUCCUCCCGCAGAACCCGCCGCCACCACGGGCCUCCUACCGCAGACCCCGCCGCUGCCACGUGCCUCCUCCAGCAGAACCCGCUGCCGCCGCGGGCCUCCUCCCGCAGACCCCACCGUCGCCGCGAGGUUCAUCCCGCAGACCUGACGCCACCGCGAGCUUCCUGCCGCAACCCUGCCAGCGGCCUCCUCCCGCAACCCCGUCGGCGACCUCCUCCCGCAUCCCCGUUGCCGGCCACGCCAAUGCGCGUCCCUACUGGAUCCACCCGAUCCAGUGCCGCGCCAGCCGCCAUUAACCCCACCAGCCGCCGGCACCGCCGCCAUCCACCCCGCUAGCCACUGUCCCCGCCUUCCGCCCGUGAUUCCGCGCUCUGUUCCUCGUUUGCACACCUCUGACUCACCAUGGACGGCUUCCCCUCCUCUGCUCGAACUUCUUCUCCAACCACCGUCGUGCCAUCCUGAUGUUCGUUGCUGAAGCCCCGCAGGCGUCGUGCUCUGUAUGUCAUUGAUGUUCUUCACAAAAAGAAAUGGCAGGAGCUCAGAUGCAACUCCUUGUGCUACGAUCUCAUACAACAAGGUGAGAACAGAACUAGGCCCCACGUGAAGAAUUGACAGACUAACUCCAAUGGCAAGCGUCAUUGUAGUAUUGUUGUUGGGCUUUUCACUUCUCUUCUCAAAUGGACUAUACAUCAGAUAGAGACUCGAAGCUUGAAGCUUAUGCAUCUGACACUUAUGCACUUCCUGAAUGCUUGUCACUCACUCCUGUUUAGAAUGCUUGUUCAUGACACAAGUUUGACCAAAAAAAUAAACAAAGAAUAUCUUCCUGAAUGCUUGUGGCGGAUUCUUGUUUGCCUAUGUUUAUAAAUUGUGUCUGCAGAGACCUAUGUGCUGUCGGUGCUUGCUAUCCGCGUGAAUAUAGGAAUGAAGAAGGUCACUAUCAGGAAGGGGAGAAUAUCACAUGAUGUGCAGAAAAGAAGGUCGGAGUUCAGAAUGAUGUAUGUGAUCUUUGUGCUGUUUUUGGGGUGCAUUUCCACAUGGGGAUGUGAUCUCACUUCAUCUUCCUCUGCGUGUGGUGGACGCCAUGGCGAGCUCGCCGGAUCCCUACACAAAAAGUUCAAAAGAAAUAAGGAUACAAGUUCAAGGACCGUGGUGAGGUAGAAUUUUGUGUUAGCUCUCUGUUCAUUUUCAACCUAGCGUGCCUUAUUGCCACAUCUGACAGAAGAUUCCUAUUUUCUGAACAUGUAGCAUUUGUUUCUUGGGAGGUUGUCAGGUUUCAUGAACAUGAAUCUUCUGUCACAUGUGUUUAGUAGUUACUCCCUCCGUUCCAAAAUAGAUGACUCAACUUCGUACUAACUUUAGUACAAAGUUGGGUCAUCUAUUUUGGAACGGAGGGAGUACCUGGGAUUACUCAGCUCCUUCUGUCGGUUCACAAAAACACAUAUCUUGCUUUCUUCCAACUUGUUGCAAGAAGUUGCUGCUUUUGUAUGGAUGCCUAGGAAAAGCUAUUUGUCUC